AUAUAUAUUAAGUAUAUUCCUCCUUUCUCCAUACAUUUGAUACGAGGAGAUCUGCUAUUGGCUCUCCAGCCUUUAGUUCUCUUCCUUCAUAAUAACUUCCUGUUUAAGAAAACCACAACUUGGACCAUUCUCAGCCAUGCAGAUUUGAUGUGAGGGGCUGUAUAGCCACCUAUGAUUAGAACCUGAUUUCCCUUCCCCUGAACACAGUAAUUGGUUCAAAGGUCGUCACAGGACUUAAGUAAGUCCAAUCAGAGGUCCUUUGAUAGGGAUUCUGGGACACAGCAUCCUUUCUCUUCCGUCUGUGUUAAUGAGGAAGCAUGUUCCUUUCCCCCAGGAGCUGCUGUUGUGUAUGACUCUGUGAUGCCAGGCUUCUCCGUCCAUGGGAUUUCCCAGGCAAGAGUACUGCACUGGGUUGCCAUUUCCUUCUCCAGGGGAUCUUCCCGAUCCAGGGAUGGAUCCCACAUCUCCGGCGUUGGCAGGUGGGUUCUUUACCACUGAGCCACCAGGAAAGCCCUCCCCUUCAAAUACAUGAGCUAAUAAAUUCUUUUUCUUUCUAAAGACAAUUUGGGAAAGAUUUCCUAAUGCUUACACCUGGCAGAUACCUAACACAAUUGAUACUAUUUGUGAACAAACUGCAGCAAACUAACACCUUUCUUUCCACUGAUGGCUUUCUUCUUAUUUACAAAUUCUUCCUCCUCUAUAACCCAUGGGGUUUUCUGCCUAUCAAACCCACACCUGCUUCUCAUCACUGCCUUUCUGCACGUUUCCUCUUUUCCAUGUAUCCCAAACAUCCAAACUCCCUUUCUUUUCAAAGCUGCCAUCCCCUCUCCAGCCCUGGGGAAUUUUCUGUUUCCAGGAGUGACAAAGACCUAGGACACAAUCGCCCCAUUUCCUUUUUCUUUUCUUUUCUAGAAGGCAGUCACUCGGGACUUUCAGACCUCAGGAAUUGGCUGUCACGCAUCUCGAGGAAACAUUCAUGGAAGCAAAAUUACAAACACAGGAUGCUUUCACGGUUGCAGAAAGCACUUGCUAUUGUUGUCUUUGAGCUGUAGGAUCUAGUUCCUGGCUGGUUCCAAGGUGUCACCCUCAUAUAACGUUGAAAAGCUGGCCUGAAAUGCUUAGCCAAGGAAAUUCAAGCUUGUGUCUCUACUAGGUCUGGGAAUAUUCUGAGUUGCAACCUAAACUUGCUUCCUCAUUUCUGUGGCAGGUAUGAAUUCUUUGGUCUCCUUAGAAGAGGAAAGAAAUUCCUACGUGGUCCCCAGAAAUUAUUUUUGUGGGCUUUGAGCCACCCUGCACCUACUCGAUGGAUAUCCCACUGCCCUUCUAUAAGAGCUCUCCAAAUCUGGUCCUUGUAAAUCCUACCCAGUGUAGGUAAAGCCUGUUGUUAUUCCUCAGCAUUACGUCUCUUCCUUCAUGGGAGGGGUACCCCAGUUCCUUCGGGAAGCCACCUCUUGCUGACUCUUAGUCAUGAGGUUUAGGUGGGAAUGCCCUUUGCUCUACAGGUGGGCUUUAUUAACUUAAACCAAUCAGCAGAGCCCACAUGUGAUGACAGUGAUCAGUUCAGGAUGGGCCCAUAAUCCCAUUAAAGCCAUAGAGACAUGAGGAAACAUUUGCUAAGUUCUCCCUCUAGACCUCAGCCUGGCUAGUGUCAUUUCCUGCAACUUCCUGGAUACCCCCUUGGCCUCAGACCCUGGAAGUCCUUCCUUUCUUUCUUGCCCAAAUCUUUCUGUUCUACUCAACUUGCCCUUGGUGCUUUUUCAAGAUACUAAUGUGUGUGCCUUUCUAACCAAUGUUUGGUUCUUUUACCUCUUGUUCUUGUAUCCCUGUUCUAAACCAGGGAUAGCAAAUAGAUUUCAUCUCGUCUGUCAACUCUGAUCAAUAAGUAUUAGGACUGAGAUCCAAGCUAAGAAAGAUUCUGAGGCUGCCUCUGGCUUCAGCGAGAAAGUCUUCUUACUGGUGAUUGGAAUCGUGAUGUGGGCUGCGUGUGGUAUUAGCAGAGGGGUGUGUAGUCCGUGAGCGUCUCACCUGGUACUCUGAGCUGGGAUCUGCUGGUCCCAUCUCUCCAGAAAGAGAACUUCCUGACCAGGGAUAGAGGAUGGAUCUGGAGUCGUCUGUUUUUGCUCUCUACCAUGUGAGAGACGGAGGAGUCAUAGCUAAACAUCUGCCCCUCACCCACUUCAAUCUCCUGUCAUCAGCUGCCACCAUGACUACAGAACAAAAACAAGGAGGAAAGAGGACGUAAUUCAGUCAUCUGAAAAUGAGGCCAGAAGUUCAAAAUCAAAGUGUCAGCAGGUUCACGCUCCCUCCGAAGGUGCUGAGGAAGGAAACUUCCAGACUUCCUUCCUAGCUUCUGGUGGCCACAGGCAUUCCUUGGCUUGUAGAUGCAUCACUCUAAUCUUCUGUCUUCACGAGGCAUUCUCCCUGUCUUCCCAUGGU
ensembl:lncRNA